UCGAGAAUCUUUUGCAAUGCUCGAAAGAGUGACAAUGCGACGCCGCGUGUGCGAUGAAGGUCUUCGGAUUGUAAAGCACUGUCAGCCGGGAGGAAGGUCUUCCUUUCUAAUAAAGAGGAAGGCUUGACAGUACCGGCAGAGGAAGCCACGGCUAACUCCGUGCCAGCAGCCGCGGUAAUACGGAGGUGGCAGGCGUUACUCGGAUUGAUUGGGUGUAAAGGGCGUGUAGGUGGUGAAUUAAGUCGGGUGUGAAAUCCCUUGGCUCAACCAAGGAACUGCACCCGAUACUGGUUUGCUUGAGCGACAGAGAGGUAAAUGGAAUUCCCGGUGUAACAGUGAAAUGUGUAGAUAUCGGGAGGAACACCAGUGGCGAAGGCGAUUUACUGGAUGUCUGCUGACACUGAAACGCGAGAGCUAGGGGAGCAAACAGG
rnacentral:rRNA from 1 species